rnacentral:rRNA from 1 species
GCUUGACCUCGAAUCAGGUAGGGAUACCCGCUGAACUUAAGCAUAUCAAUAAGCGGAGGA